rnacentral:misc_RNA from 1 species
AAGUCGUAACAAGGUUUCCGUAGGUGAACCUGCGGAAGGAUCAUUAGAAAGUACCGGCCCCCGGGGCCGCACCUUCAAACCACUGUGAAACCACCCGUUGCCUCGCGGCCUCGCCCGAAGCCCGCCCGCGAGGGCGGUGCCGCCGGCGCUGUCAGUCCGCAGAGGCCCAAAACACAAACCGCUUUGUAACAGUCUGUCUGAACACUAUGAAUUAAAAUUCGUUAAAA